rnacentral:rRNA from 1 species
UUCCUACGGGAGGCUGCAGCCGCGGUAAUACGGAGGGUGCAAGCGUUAAUCGGAAUUACUGGGCGUAAAGCGCACGCAGGCGGUCUGUUAAGUCAGAUGUGAAAUCCCCGGGCUCAACCUGGGAACUGCAUUUGAAACUGGCAGGCUUGAGUCUUGUAGAGGGGGGUAGAAUUCCAGGUGUAGCGGUGAAAUGCGUAGAGAUCUGGAGGAAUACCGGUGGCGAAGGCGGCCCCCUGGACAAAGACUGACGCUCAGGUGCGAAAGCGUGGGGAGCAAACAGGAUUAGAUACCCUAGUAGUC